AUACGGAGGGUGCAAGCGUUAAUCGGAAUUACUGGGCGUAAAGCGCUCGUAGGCGGCUUGUUAAGUCGGAUGUGAAAGCCCCGGGCUCAACCUGGGAACUGCAUUCGAUACUGGCAGGCUAGAGUAUAGUAGAGGCAAGUGGAAUUCCGGGUGUAGCGGUGAAAUGCGUAGAUAUCCGGAGGAACAUCAGUGGCGAAGGCGACUUGCUGGACUAAUACUGACGCUGAGGAGCGAAAGCGUGGGGAGCAAACGGGAUUAGAAACCCCUGUAGUCC
rnacentral:rRNA from 1 species